rnacentral:rRNA from 1 species
AUUGAACGCUGGCGGCAUGCCUUACACAUGCAAGUCGAACGGCAGCACGGGUGCUUGCACCUGGUGGCGAGAGGCGAACGGGUGAGUAAUACAUCGGAACGUACCUUAUCGUGGGGGAUAACGCAGCGAAAGUUGCGCUAAUACCGCAUACGCCCUGAGGGGGAAAGCGGGGGACCGUAAGGCCUCGCGCGAUUAGAGCGGCCGAUGUCUGAUUAGCUUGUUGGUGAGGGAAAAGCUCACCAAGGCGAUGAUCAGUAGCUGGUCUGAGAGGACGAUCAGCCACACUGGGACCGAGACACGGCCCAGACUCCUACGGGAGGCAGCAGUGGGGAAUUUUGGACAAUGGGGGCAACCCUGAUCCAGCAAUGCCGCGUGAGUGAAGAAGGCCUUCGGGUUGUAAAGCUCUUUGUCAGGGAAGAAACAGCAGCUCUAACACAGUCUGCGAAUGACGGUACCUGAAGAAUAAGCACCGGCUAACUACGUGCCAGCCGCCGCCGUAA